AACGUACGCUGGCGGCACGCCUAACACAUGCAAGUCGAACGAAGUAGCAAUACUUAGUGGCAGACGGGUGAGUAACAUGUAGGUAUCUGCCCUUUGGCCUGGAAUAACACGAGGAAACUUGUGCUAAUACCGGAUAAGUCUUUACGGAGAAAGCUUUAUGCACCAUUGGAUGAGCCUGCACUUGAUUAGUUUGUUGGUGGGGUAAUGGCCUACCAAGACUGUGAUCAAUAGCUGAUUUGAGAGGAUGAUCAGCCACAUUGGGACUGAGACACGGCCCAAACUCCUACGGGAGGCAGCAGUGGGGAAUCUUGCACAAUGGAGGAAACUCUGAUGCAGCGAUGCCGCGUGAGUGAAGAAGGCCCUUGGGUUGUAAAGCUCUUUCGUCGGGGAAGAAAAUGACUGUACCCGAAUAAGAAGGUCCGGCUAACUUCGUGCCAGCAGCCGCGGUAAUACGAAGGGACCUAGCGUAGUUCGGAAUUACUGGGCUUAAAGAGUUCGUAGGUGGUUGAAAAAGUUAGUGGUGAAAUCCCAGAGCUUAACUCUGGAACUGCCAUUAAAACUUUUCAGCUAGAGUAUGAUAGAGGAAAGCAGAAUUUCUAGUGUAGAGGUGAAAUUCGUAGAUAUUAGAAAGAAUACCAAUUGCGAAGGCAGCUUUCUGGAUCAUUACUGACACUGAGGAACGAAAGCAUGGGUAGCGAAGAGGAUUAGAUACCCUCGUAGUCCAUGCCGUAAACGAUGUGUGUUAGACGUUGGAAAUUUAUUUUCAGUGUCGCAGGGAAACCGAUAAACACACCGCCUGGGGAGUACGACCGCAAGGUUA
rnacentral:rRNA from 1 species